AUUUAUAUAGUUUAAAAUAAUAAAACUUUACAUUUUCACUGUAAAAAUAAAAUCUUUUUUUUAUAAAUA
rnacentral:tRNA from 1 species